AACGAACGCUGGCGGCAUGCCUAACACAUGCAAGUCGAACGAGACCUUCGGGUCUAGUGGCGCACUGGUGCGUAACGCGUGGGAACCUGCCCUUAGGUUCGGCAUAACUCCCCGAAAGGGGUGCUAAUACCGGAUAAUGUCCUCGGACCAAAGGUUUAUCGCGUUUGGGUGGGCCGGCGUUGGAUUAGCUGGUUGCUAGGGUAAAAGGGUACCAAAGGUACGAUGCAUAGCUGGUCUGAGAGGAUGGGCAGCCACACUGGGACUGAGAAACGGCCCAGACUCCUACGGGAGGCAGGAGUGGGGAAUCUUGGACAGUGGGCGAAGGGCUGAAGGAGCAAGGACGCGUGAGUGAUGAAGGCCUUAGGGUUGUAAAGCUAUUUUACCCGGGAUGAUAAUGACAGUACCGGGAGAAUAAGCUCCGGCUAACUCCGUG
rnacentral:rRNA from 1 species